AAUCUUCCACAAUGGACGGAAGUCUGAUGGCGCAACGCCCCGUGAGCUAAGAAGGUUUUUGGAUCGUAAAGCUUCGUUGUAAGGGAAGAACACUUACGGGAGUCACCGUCCGUACCUUGACGGUACCUUAUCAGAAAGCCACGGCUAACUACGUUCCCGCAGCCGCGGUAAUACGUAGGUGGCAAGCGGUGUCCGGAAUUAUUGGGCGUAAAGCGCGCGCAGGCGGUCCUAUAAGUCUGAUGUGAAAGCCCACGGCUCAAACGUGGAGGGUCAUUGGAAACUGGAGGACUUGAGUACAGAAGAGGAAAGCGGAAUACCACGUGUAGCGGUGAAAUGCGUAGAGAUGUGGAGGAACACCAGUGGCGAAGGCGGCUUUCUGGUCUGUAACUGACGCUGAGGCGCGAAAGCGUGGGGAGCAAAC
rnacentral:rRNA from 1 species